rnacentral:rRNA from 1 species
UACGUAGGGGGCUAGCGUUGUCCGGAAUCAUUGGGCGUAAAGAGCGUGUAGGCGGCCCGGUAAGUCCGCUGUGAAAGUCGGGGGCUCAACCCUCGAAUGCCGGUGGAUACUGUCGGGCUAGAGUGCGGAAGAGGCGAGUGGAAUUCCUGGUGUAGCGGUGAAAUGCGCAGAUAUCAGGAGGAACACCAAUUGCGAAGGCAGCUCGCUGGGACGGUACUGACGCUGAGGCGCGAAAGCGUGGGGAGCGAACAGG